GGUAGAGUUUGAUUGAGAGGUCAGGAGAGGACUCAGCCAUCAAAGGCAUCCAACUUGAAGACUAGAGAUACCCCCAGGGGCAAGGAAGUAUAUGCUUUGAUGGUGGUAAACCCUGAGUGGCUCCUACAACAGGAUUGAGAAGGGUAAUUUUGCA
rnacentral:lncRNA from 1 species